rnacentral:ribozyme from 1 species
GAGAUCGAAAGAACAACUCUUCAGAAAUAAUAGUAAUAAUGUUCACCUCGUCGUCUGCAUCAUCGUCUUCUAUCGGUUCUUCCUCUUUUCUUCUUCAAAAUCAUCUCUU